GCAUUGGUGGCUCAGUAGUAGAAUUCUUGCCUUCCAUGCUGAAGACUUGGGUUCAAUUCCUGGCCAAUGCA
rnacentral:tRNA from 1 species